UCACAUCUGUGUCCAUGAGCAAGUCCUUAGAAUGGAAUUCCCGGAACACCACAAGUAGACCUAUGCCAGCUAAGCAGACUUGGUUUCUGCAGAGUCCCAGCACAUUCAGGCAGAAAAUUUUGGAUUCCUUCUGCAUCUCAGGCCACAUGUAAUUCAAAGCAGCAGAGAAAUCAUGACAGAUGUCCUGAGUGAACUGAAGCUGCUGACUCUUUCACCACUUUCUCCUCCAGCUACAGCGCCAUGACACAAAAAACUAGGGUGUAGGCCAGAGGUGCAGAGGAGAGAGGAUUCACCAGAGAGAGAGUGAGGAGCAGAACAAGUGGAUCUACUGAAAUACAAUGCUGAGUGGGAGCAGCAGG